rnacentral:lncRNA from 1 species
GGAAGGAGACAGUCGUCGAGACCGGCGGGCAUCAUGCCGUAGCUGCCUCUCUUCCUCUCAGUGGGAGUGCUGUGACAGCUGCUCCCGAGGAGGGGACGGAGACCGACGCGGGCGUCGGCGGCUGCUCCUAGAGGGCAUCGGACGCGUCAUCGAUUGCUCCGUCGGUAAUCGGGUGGGUUAUAGGCUUUUGACCGCGUUCGUCAACACGGUCAUCUGCCGCACGAUCGCUGCGAUCUGCGCCUCCGUGGUCACCGC